GCGCCCGUAGCUCAGCUGGAUAGAGUAUCGGCCUCCGAAGCCGAGGGUCGCAGGUUCAAGUCCUGCCGGGCGCGCCA
rnacentral:tRNA from 4 species